CCUACGGGGUGCAGCAGUGAGGAAUAUUGGUCAAUGGGCGGAAGCCUGCACCAGCCAAGUAGCGUGCGGGAUGAAGGCCCUACGGGUCGUAAACCGCUUUUGCACGGGGAUAACACCCUCCCCUUGUGGAGGUCUGCAGGUACCGUGCGAAUAAGGGCCGGCUAAUUCCGUGCCAGCAGCCGCGGUAAUACGGAAGGCCCGAGCGUUGUCCGGAUUCAUUGGGCUUAAAGGGAGCGUAGGCGGGCGUUCACGUCAGCGGUAAAAUCGCGCGGGUCAACCGCGCCCCGAAGUUGAAAAUGGACGCCUUGAGUUCACAACAGGCAGGCGGAAUUCGUGGUGUAGCGGUGAAAUGCAUAGAUAUCACGAGGAACCCCGAUUGCGAAGGCAGCCUGACGGGGUGCGACUGACGCUGAGGCUCGAAGGUGCGGGUAUCAAACAGGAUUAGAGACCCGGGUAGUC
rnacentral:rRNA from 1 species